rnacentral:misc_RNA from 1 species
GAUGAAGAACGCAGCGAUAUGCGAUAAGUAAUGUGAAUUGCAGAAUUCAGUGAAUCAUCGAAUCUUUGAACGCACAUUGCGCCCGGUAGUAUUCUGCCGGGCAUGCCUGUUCGAGCGUCAUUUCAACCAUCAAGCCCCAGCGCUUGUGUUGGGGGCCUGCGGCUGCCGCAGCCCCCUAAAAGCAGUGGCGGGCUCGCUAUCACACCGAGUGCAGUAGUUCAUCUUCUCUCCGGUCUUGUGAGGCGGGUUCCGGCCGUGAAACACCCCACUACAUUCAAGGUUGACCUCGGAUCAGGUAGGAAUACCCGCUGAACUUAAGCAUAUCAAUAAGCGGAGGA